GCAURCACGAAAGUGUGACAGGGUCAUCCCGAGUGCCGACCGCUGAGGUUGGCUUUUACCCAGUCUAGAAAGCUGGGGGAAUAAGGAGAGGGCAAGUCUGGUGUCAGCCGCCGCGGUAAUACCAGCUCUCCGAGUGGUGUGGACGUUUAUUGGGCCUAAAGCAUCCGUAGCUGGCUGAACAAGUCCCCUGUUAAACCCACCGAUUUAAUCGUUGGUCUGCGGGGGAUACUGCUCGGCUAGGGGACGAGAGARGCASACGGUAUUCCCGGGGUAGGGGUGAAAUCCUAUAAUCCCGAGAAGACCACCAGUGGCGAARGCUGUCUGCUAGAACGCGCCCGACGGUGAGGGAUGAAAGCUGGGGGAGCGAACCGGAUUAGAUACCCGGGUAGUCCCAGCUGUAAACGAUGCAGACUAGGUGUUUGGACGGCCACGUGCCGUUCUAGUGCCGCAGGGAAGCUGUUAAGUCUGCCGCCUGGGGAGUACGAUCGCAAGAUUGAAACUUAAAGGAAUUGCGGGGGGGAACACAAAA
rnacentral:rRNA from 1 species